GAAGGUUCGUCCGCCCUGGGUAAGUCGGGACCUAACGCGAGGCCGAAAGGCGUAGUGGAUGGAAAACAGGCAGAUAUUCCUGUACCCGUAAUGCAAGUGAUGGAGUGACGGAGAAGGCUAGUGUGACCCUAUGAAUGGAUUUAGGGCGAAGCGGAGCAGCAGGCUUACAGUGAAAUGCGUAAGCGAGAUGCAGGACGCGAUAGGUAAGCGAACGCGCGAGCAAGUAGCGAAGCACAUGAGGCCAGCUUCCAAGAAAAGCUUCUGGCGCAAAUUGGAUUACGGCCCGUACCAAAACCGACACAGGUGGGCAAGGAGAGUAUCCUAAGGUGAGCGAGAGAACUGUUGCCAAGGAACUCGGCAAAAAUACUCCGUAAGUUCGCGAGAAGGAGUGCUCUUGAGAGAGAGCCGCAGCGAAGAGGCCCAAGCGACUGUUUAACUAAAACACAGCUCUCUGCGAAGUCGCAAGACGAAGUAUAGGGGGUGACGCCUGCCCGGUGCUGGAAGGUUAAGGGGAGGAGUUAUCGAAAGAGAAGCUCUGAACCGAAGCCCCAGUGAACGGCGGCCGUAACUAUAACGGUCCUAAGGUAGCGAAAUUCCUUGUCAGGUAAGUUCUGACCCGCACGAAAGGCGUAACGAUUUGGGCGCUGUCUCGGCAGCAGACUCGGUGAAAUCUUAGUACCUGUGAAAAUGCAGGUUACCCGCAACUAGACGGAAAGACCCCAUGGAGCUUUACUGCAGCCUGAUAUUGGAUUUUGAUUCAGCAUGUACAGGAUAGGUGGGAGACUGAGAGACAUGCACGCCAGUGUAUGAGGAGUCGACGUUGGGAUACCACUCUUGCUGGAUCGGAGUUCUAACCUGUGCGCCUGGAGCGGCGCAAGGGAGAGUGUCAGGCGGGCAGUUUGACUGGGGCGGUCGCCUCCCAAAGAGUAACGGAGGCGCCCAAAGGUACGCUCAGAUUGGUUGGAAAUCAAUUGAAGAGUGCAAAUGCAGAAGCGUGCUUGACUGUGAGAGCAACAACUCGAACAGGGACGAAAGUCGGGAUUAGUGAUCCGGCGGUGCCGAAUGGAAGGGCCGUCGCUCAACGGAUAAAAGCUACCCUGGGGAUAACAGGCUGAUCUCGCCCAAGAGUUCACAUCGACGGCGAGGUUUGGCACCUCGAUGUCGGCUCAUCGCAUCCUGGAGCUGAAUUCGGUUCCAAGGGUUGGGCUGUUCGCCCAUUAAAGCGGUACGCGAGCUGGGUUCAGAACGUCGUGAGACAGUUCGGUCCCUAUCUGUUGUGGGCGCAGGAGAUCUGAGGAGAGCUGUCCUUAGUACGAGAGGACCGGGAUGGACCUGCCGCUGGUGCACCAGUUGUCGUGCCAACGGCACAGCUGGGUAGCCAAGCAGGGAAAGGAUAAGCGCUGAAAGCAUCUAAGCGCGAAGCCUACUCCAAGAUGAGAUCUCCCAUACGAAAGUAGUAAGACCCCUUGAAGACGACGAGGUAGAUAGGUCAGGGAUGGAAGCGUAGCGAUACGUGGAGUUGACUGAUACUAAUCGGUCGAGGACUUAAUC
rnacentral:rRNA from 1 species